UUUGGGAGGUAGGUACAAUAAAUCACAAUGCGGGACUUGUAGUCUUGCAAUUGGAUUGAGAACAACGUAAAACUCUUAUCGAUAAGCCAUUGGAGGGCAAGUCUGGUGCCAGCAGCCGCGGUAAUUCCAGCUCCAAUAGCGUAUAUUAACGUUGUUGCAGUUAAAAAGCUCGUAGUUGAAGUGAGGGAGUGUGUGUUGUGAUCGAAUCGAUCGAGAGCAGUACAACCUCCCCCUUCCAAUGGGUGUAUUGGGGUAUUCAUUUACUUCAUUACUCCUUUGGUCGUUUACUGUGAGAAAAUUAGAGUGUUCAAAGCGGGCGUUUGUUUGAAUAGAUUAGCAUGGAAUAAUGAUUGAAGGCUUUCGUGUUCGAUUUGAUUGGUUUGUUCAUGGAAGCAAGGUUAAAAGGAACAGUUGGGGGUAUUCAUAUCACUAGGAAUACAGAACUGUCUGCUU
rnacentral:rRNA from 1 species